GAUGAACGCUGGCAGCGUGCCUAAUACAUGCAAGUCGAGCGAACGGACGAGAAGCUUGCUUUUCUGAUGUUAGCGGCGGACGGGUGAGUAACACGUGGAUAACCUACCUAUAAGACUGGGAUAACUUCGGGAAACCGGAGCUAAUACCGGAUAAUAUUUUGAACCGCAUGGUUCAAAAGUGAAAGACGGUCUUGCUGUCACUUAUAGAUGGAUCCGCGCUGCAUUAGCUAGUUGGUAAGGUAACGGCUUACCAAGGCAACGAUGCAUAGCCGACCUGAGAGGGUGAUCGGCCACACUGGAACUGAGACACGGUCCAGACUCCUACGGGAGGCAGCAGUAGGGAAUCUUCCGCAAAGGGCGAAAGCCUGACGGAGCAACGCCGCGUGAGUGAUGAAGGUCUUCGGAUCGUAAAACUCUGUUAUUAGGGAAGAACAUAUGUGUAAGUAACUGUGCACAUCCUGACGGUACCUAAUCAGAAAGCCACGGCUAACUACGUG
rnacentral:rRNA from 1 species